GUCAGUGAAUCGUAUCCGGCGCGGCCGGUGCGGCGCGCUCGCUCCAGAGCUUGCCGCGUGUUUUAAACUGACUGACGAGUUGACUGCUUGAUGACGUGACUUCGAGAUUUCAAAUAAUCUGUUAGACUGCGACACCGAGGCAACUAUGUGAAAGCGCAAAAACAUCGCCAGGAAGGCAGAGGACACGUCAAACCUGGUAUCGGAAGAUGAUGCUGUGUAGAAGCGAAAGAGACGUCUUCCCCAGAGAUUUAGCAAAUCUUCUAGUGAUUCCGGAAGUGACGCUAAUCUUGAAUCGGUUAGGACCCAAGAAAACAACAUGUACGCGGAGGAACGACUAAGGCUGUGGCAGCAGAGAUACCAAUGCCGAAACCGAAUGCGAAGUCCAAGUCCACAUCGCAUUUUUCAGUUCCAACCCACAACUCCAGCAAGGGCUCGGGCUUCGGAAAGCAAUUUUCAAGUGCAGGUACUGUGUACGCUACAGAGGCUGGAGGAAGGGCAGCAGCAGCUGACGCACUUGGUACAAAAACUGCUUUUGUCAAAAUCGGGAGCGGCCGUUGAUGUGGAAGAUCUGAGGGAGCCGUUUAUCGAACCAGUGAACACCAAAUUUUCAUUCAAGGUAGAUUAAGAUACCUUCAUUCAGGGGCAAUGCAAAAAUCCUAAAACUCAUAUUAAAACCAAAUUUGACCAUUUCAGCUAAUAAUGGAGAAACUUUAUCAGCGACAUAACAGUUUUGUUGGUGCAUCUUUUUGGAUUGAAUUGCCAACAUCUUGUUGAGAAUGCAAGACAAAGUUGUAUAGGUCUGUAAAUUUACUACUUUUUGUAAGGAUGCUGAAACCAAUGUGUGUGCUGCCAAACUCUCUUAAAACCUUGUCUUCUAUAUUCAUAGACCCUUAAAUUUGAGUAUUCAUAUUUGCCUGUUAAUAAUUCAUAUCGACUCAUUUCUAUCAGUUUAUUAUAAAUAGCUUUUUGUAGAUUGUUCAUGUGUUUUGUGUUGGUUUUAUAUUUGAAGUAAGAUGCAAGGUCCAAUGCAAGGCUUCUGGGAAAUCUUGACCUGCCCACUAAAUCUUUGGUCGAUCAAAAGGACAAUUUUUUACUCGGAUUUAAAGGGGAAAUCUACCCUAGAAAUUUCACUGCUUCAAUCAAAGGAGACAAAUU